UACGAAGGGGGCUAGCGUUGUUCGGAAUUACUGGGCGUAAAGCGUGCGCAGGCGGUUUCUUAAGUCAGAUGUGAAAGCCCCGGGCUUAACCUGGGAACUGCGUUUGAAACUGGGAGACUUGAGUGUGGCAGAGGGGGGUGGAAUUCCACGUGUAGCAGUGAAAUGCGUAGAGAUGUGGAGGAACACCGAUGGCGAAGGCAGCCUCCUGGGCCAGCACUGACGCUCAUGCACGAGAGCGUGGGGAGCAAACAGG
rnacentral:rRNA from 1 species